UCUCUCUCUCUCUCUCUCACCAGCAAUUCCCUUCCAGCCAGACUUGGCCUCCUCCAGCCCCGCACUGCCCCUCGCACAUCAACGAUGAUGAUCUGGAUGCACAUUGCAAGGAGGCCUCAAAUUAUUUUUUACUGCACUAUAGUAGAUGAGCUAAGUAUAUCAUGUAGUUAUGUCUGUAAACCAUGUUCUAUACAUGAUUUAGCUUUCCAUAUUCAACUCCCCAAAAAGUAAAAGCUCAGCUUUAUUCGAUUAUUUUCUUAUGUUUAAUGCAUCAAUUUUCUUUGCAGUACAACUAUAAGGUCUUCUUGUAGGUCUGAUCACGACAAAUGAAUGCGAUUGGUUAAUGUUACAUUUAGUUCCGAUGUCCUGGCCAAGUCAUGCCAUUAGGAUGUCCAGGCAUAUAUGACAAAAAACUUCCUCUUCGAUCUGAAAUGGUUUAUCCAGAAGGGAGUUGUGUUGGCUGGUGGUUGUUGAUACAAGAAUGUGGAACUCUAUAGGCUUCACAUCACAGAAGGCAUGCUAAUGCAUUUGCAUUAGUGGUCUACUAUUGCGCUUUGCCACUUUCUUCUUAUCAUUCGUUAGUUAUGGUUUCAAGCUGCUCAAGUAUGAUGUUGAGCAUGAGCAUGCUCUGAUGCUUGAGUGGUUGAUACCAUCAGGGCAUAAAUCCGAUGGAUGGACUCUCCAGCAAUCCCAUGAGAUGGACAUGUGAGCUGCAUUUGACCGUUGAUUGUUGAUCUUUGUCAAAAACCCAAACUGAAACCCUAUAACAGUUAAUUCAUAUGGUUAGAGUUAACUUUUCGAUGCCUUGAAAAUCAUGUAAUUACUUUAAUUUUGAAAGUGUGCAUGACAAGCAUGGCACUGUAUUAUAUGUACAGGUAGAAUGCUAAGAAUUAUAGUAGAAAAUUAGAUUUUAGUAGUUAAGUUAAAGUUCAUUGAAAUAUGUUAACG